AUAGCCUACGGGGCGCAGCAGUAGGGAAUCUUCGGCAAUGGACGAAAGUCUGACCGAGCAACGCCGCGUGAGUGAAGAAGGUUCUCGGAUCGUAAAACUCUGUUGGUAGAGAAGAACGUUGGUGAGAGUGGAAAGCUCAUCAAGUGACGGUAACUACCCAGAAAGGGACGGCUAACUACGUGCCAGCAGCCGCGGUAAUACGUAAGUCCCGAGCGUUGUCCGGAUUUAUUGGG
rnacentral:rRNA from 1 species